rfam:Ixodes scapularis strain Wikel colony gcontig_1107729170764, whole genome shotgun sequence.
UCCUGGUUAGCUCAUUUCGCAGAGCACUCCACUGGAAAUGGAGAGGUCCCUGGUUCGAUACCAGGACCAGGUG